rnacentral:tRNA from 1 species
GCUGGUGUAGCUCAACUGGCAGAGCAGCUGAUUUGUAAUCAGCAGGUUAUCGGUUCGAUUCCUGCCACCGGCUCCA